rnacentral:rRNA from 1 species
GGGGAUGCAUGGGGGACCUGAUGCAGCCAUGCCGCGUGUGUGAAGAAGGCCUUCGGGUUGUAAAGCACUUUCAGCGAGGAGGAAAGGUUGAUACCUAAUACGUGUCAACUGUGACGUUACUCGCAGAAGAAGCACCGGCUAACUCCGUGCCAGCAGCCGCGGUAAUACGA